AACUCUAAAGCCGACGAAACGAUGCUCACGAAAUCAAAGCUUGACGAUCACUUGAAAUUAUGAGAGAAGAAAUUUAUAGAACUUGGAAUAAUUGGUGGAAACUGUGUGUGGUAGUCUUUUAGUUGGAAUGGAAACUAAAAUUAAUAAGAAUGGCUAAACCGACUCUAUACGACCAAAUUGAUGAAAUAGGAGUUUGGUUUCAUAGACUUGGUUAUCUACCGUUGCAUAUAUAAUGCCUUGUCAAUGAUGUAACUAAAAACGCAUGGCAUAACAUUGAAACCAAUAAUAAUAGGUUAAAGGUACUUAUGGUAUGAAUAUAAUGGUUGAUGACUAAUAGGUUAAUUAUAUGGUAUUAAGACAAUUGAAUUUGAAUGAAUGGGAAAUAAUGCACCCGAUCAAAAUGGUGAAGCAGAAAUAUUUAUUUCACCUCUAUCAGUAACUUGGUUGGCAAAUAGAAGGCUAUAUUAAGAAAAUACUAUAGACUUUAUGGUUAAUGAAAUCAUGGAGUAUUUUUGGCUAACUAUCAUACUAUUCACGUG
rnacentral:lncRNA from 1 species